rnacentral:rRNA from 1 species
AGUGAACGCUGGCGGUAGGCCUAACACAUGCAAGUCGAACGGCAGCACCGUAAGAGCUUGCUCUUACGGGUGGCGAGUGUCGGACGGGUGAGGAAUACAUCGGAAUCUACUUUUUCGUGGGGGCUAACGUAGGGAAACUUACGCUAAUACCGCAUACGACCUACUGGUGAAAGCAGGGGAUCUUCGGACCUUGCGCGAUUGAAUGAGCCUAUGUCGGAUUAGCUAGUUGGCGGGGUAAAGGCCCACCAAGGCGACGAUCCGUAGCUGGUCUGAGAGGAUGAUCAGACACACUGGAACUGAGACACGGUCCAGACUCCUACGGGAGGAAGCAGUGGGGAAUAUUAGGCGAGGGGCGCAAGGCUGAUACAGGCAUACCGCGUGGGUGAAGAAGGCCUUAGGGUUGGAAAGCCAUUUUGGUGGGAAAGAAAAGAAGCAGGUUAAUACCCCGCUGUAAUGACGGUACCCAAAGAAUAAGCACCGGCUAACUUCGUG